CACGUAGGGGCCAAGCGUUGUCCGGAUUUAUUGGGCGUAAAGAGCUCGUAGGCGGUUGGGUAAGUCGGGUGUGAAAACUCCAGGCUCAACUUGGAGACGCCACCCGAUACUGCUCUGACUUGAGUUCGGUAGGGGAGUGGGGAAUUCCUGGUGUAGCGGUGAAAUGCGCAGAUAUCAGGAGGAACACCGGUGGCGAAGGCGCCACUCUGGGCCGAAACUGACGCUGAUGCGCGAAAGCCAGGGGAGCAAACGGG
rnacentral:rRNA from 1 species